AAGCAAACAGAAAUCAUCUGCUGGGUAGUGACUUACUGAAAGGAAAUGAACAUUCCUUCUCACUGCAAGAGUCAGGUCCAGAGGAGACACUGGGGAGAAACAGCUUGUUCUGUAUUACUGUCCAUCUACUACGUAACAGCCUAUGGAUGUGUCUCAAAGAAGCAAGUAAAGCUCGGAGCGUUUAUCUAAGCAGGUUCAAUCUGCAAAACGGCAUCUGCCCCAUGACCUUAAAAGUGGUUUUUAAGUAAAGAAGAUGAAUCAGUUUCUAAGAAACUGCUGGAAAUGCUGCUGUUUCUGAACCUGGAUGUCCUG